ACUCCGAGGCUGAAGCACGCACCUAGACGCUGCCUCGGCUAAAAGCACCAACAGGUGAGCUGAGCCCACAGGAAACUGAACGCAGCGUGGAAGCCUGGAGCCUCUCCCUUCAUCCGUGUCUGUCUGGUUUUGCUGUGGAUCACACCGGCCAACUUCUGCAGAUUGGCAUGCAUUGUAUCAAAACCUCCUCCAAACUGAAACUUGCCUUCCAGGAAGGAGGGGGGAAGUUUGUGAAACUCGUACGCAGGGGAAAGCAGAAACUUUCAAGCUGCCGGGACCUGUCCCCAGGGUUAGAGUCAGUAAACAGCUGCGGGGCGAGGAGCUGGGCAGCUGAGCUGUUGAGAAAAGAUCUGGACCCCUUGAGCUGACUGUAUACCUGGCAGAGGGCUCGGAGUCGGGCAGGGGGCAGCUUUCACGAGCCUCCCUCUCUGUUGGGAUGGGCUUGUUGGUGAUGCAACUGCAUUUGAGUUAUCCCUACUCUUCCUGCAAGCAGCCCCGGAGCUCAGAGGCUCAGCACAUUGAACUUUGAGAGAAUCAUUAUCGUCAUCUGUCUGUCAUCCCUAUUUAAGGUUGCUGUGGACUGUUCUGGGUGUACUGGAAACUUUGAGACUCUGCAGGGUGCAUGCAGACUACAACAUGAAAGGCUCUCAACUUUAAAAUAUUGGAAGCACGGAUCCACUCGGCAUCUCCAGCCAGAUAAAACCAGAUCUACAGACACUCAAAGCAAUUCUAUUACAGAGCAUCAGAGCCACACAGAAGAGGCCGGAGCCCUUGGCAGAGAUGAGGGACUGUGGAGAGGACAGAUUCGGGAGGAGGGCUGUGGAGACAGACGAUCCGUGACAGCGCUGGCCAUGCGAGUGGAGUGCCUGAGUUUGGAGCCAGGACGGAGUCUGCCUGUACACUCGGCACACCUACAGCAAGAAAGGAGGGAAACAGGAAAACUCCUGGAAGCUUCCUGGCCAGCUUAGCCUGGAGCAAAAGAGACCUCGCCUCCAACAAGCUGAGGGCCCACACCUCAAGUUUUCCUCUGAACUCUAUGCAUUGCUGCAGUGCUACAUUGUGCGCGCGUGCGCGCGCGCGCACACACACACACACACACACACAUGAGAAGGUGGGGAACCAGGAGAAAGUUCUACAACCUAAAGAUAGUACAAGACAGGACAAUCAAGACAGGAAUGUAGAUGGUGGUCACCAUCAGAAAGUCCCCUACUUCAGUCAACAGCCUAACAGACUAAAGAAAAGGCAUAUGAUUAGGUCAGGACAUACAGAAAGGAGCCUGAUAACUGUCUUUGCUGGAGUCCAGCAUUAAAGACGCGACAGAAGCAGGGAGCAGCCAUCCUCAUUUUCGGAAACUCUUUAUUUUCUAUUUUUAAAACGCUGUUCCUAUUAUUUUUGUUUCAGGGCUCAGGACCAAACUGAUCUCCCUGCAGACACGAGGCAGACAUUUUACCACCGAGCGGCUACUCCUGCCCCUGGGCAGGGUCCAGGCAGCCCAGAUCUGACCUCUGCGUGUUCUGAGAAGUCGAACCGAGGGCAUCAGGCUUUGUGUAGCAGGUGCUCUACCCACUGGGCCAUCCUCUCAGCAUUAGGACAUUUCCUUUCCCGGCAGGAGCUGUGAAGAUCUGGCCUAUCCGAUUGUGCCGACUGCCCCAGCUGUGAUCUUACUGACUUCUCAAACUUUAUGGCGCACAAAUCAGGAAUUCAAGUUUGUUCUAAGCAAGAUGAAUUACAGAUGACGUGAAAACUGUCAUUUCCAUUUUUAGGCUUUCUCUGGGACCAUGCUUCAACACUUACCAGGAUAGGGGCAUGAGUAUUAGAAAAAUAUAAAGCAAACAAAGACAUGAGUGAAAAUAAUAAAACAGAAACAUAAGAUAGUAUUGGGAGGGAGUUCCAACGAAUACUGAAAUCCCCGCAUUUAAUUUUCCACACAAUUUCAUACCACAGGGGGAAGAAGACAAAGGAUUACUUUAACAUGAUACCAAAGACAACCAGCACAGUUACUUGCUUCAAUACCUUGAGACGUCAAGUCAUUAGCAUUCUGUUGUUUAGGCAGUGAACCCACCCUAGACCAAGUAUCCUGAAGGCAGCCAUUCCCAAGGUCAAACCCCCAUCUCAAAAGAAGGAGCAGAGCAAGUAUGCUUGAUUUUCCCAGCCAUUGAUCUACCUGUAUGGGUCAGCUAACAUCAAGAGACCAAAUAACCACAACAUAGGUCAGGAUGUGUAGCCACGAUUUUGAACAAGCUGAAACUCUCUGGCCUUCAGACAAGGUGAAAAUAGGCUCACAUUUUGGGGCCUCCACAGGCUUUUAUUUCAUUGGUACUUUAUUUCUUCAACGCAGACUCACUGUGUAUUCCAGGCUGGCUACAGUCAUCACUGUCCUCCAACCUCAGCCUUGCAAAUGCUGGGACAUUAGUUCUGUCUGCUCUCUUUCUUGCUUCUAUUAUCUCUAAUAAACCACACUGGAUGCUUAAUUGGAUCAAAGCCACAAGGUUAGGCUCUCCAAACUGGUGCUUCUCUACAAUCCCUAGGUAACUGAUGUGGGAUUCCCCUCUGUAUGCUAUGAUUACCACUGGUAAAUAAAGGAACUGCUUUCGGCCUAUAACAGAGCUGUAGGGGAACAGAGCUAGGCAGGGGAAAACUAAACUGAAUGCUAGGAGAGAGAAGUGGAGUCAGAGAGAAGCCAUGUACCCCAACCGGAGACAGACACCGAAACUUUACCUGGUAAGCCACAGACAUGUAGCAAUACACAGAUAAAUAGAAAUGGGUUAAAUUAAUAAGUAAGCAUUAGCCAUUAAGAAGCUAGAGCCAAUGGGCCAAGUGGUGAUUUAAUUAACACAGUUUCACAGUUUCUGUGUGAUUAUUUCGGGGCUAAGCAGCCAGGAAGAAAACAAGCAGCCUCCUCCACAACAAGUUGACACUGUCAACAUGGGUAACUACAUCCACAUAAAACCUGAGAAAGCUUUUUUUUUUUUUAUUUUCGAGACAGGGUUUCUCCAUAGCUUUUUGGUUCCUGUCCUGGAACUAGCUCUUGUAGACCAAGCUGGCCUCGAACUCACAGAGAUCUGCCUGCCUCUGCCUCCCGAGUGCUGGGAUUAAAGGCGUGCGCCACCACCGCCAGGCUCUGAGAAAGCUUUUUUUUUUUUUUUUUUUUUAAGAAAGCUUUAAAAGGAAUUCUAGACACAAAAGAACAGAGUUAAGCAUGGCUUUUGGUAGCCACAAUUUUUUUUUCUAGAUGGGCCCAUGGCGAGCAGGGGCGGGCUACUUUAAAAGAGGUGCAAUAAAAGAUGCGUGGCUUUGAAACGGUGGCUUCCCAACCAUGGGUCACACUGCUAGCAUGAGCUCUGGCUCUUUCAGGAGGCCAAGCAUUUAAAUGGGGUUUGUAAGCAGCGUGUUACAAACUGCUUAAUUGCUCGACAUAAACCUGCUACACACUUAGAACUGGGGCAGCCUCCUCCACAACAGGUAACUUAUAGACUGCACCAAAUAGUGGCUUCACUGGCUUUUCAUAUUUAAGUGACAGUCAGUGCAGAAGCUGGCUCUCUGAGCAGCGAGAUGAAUAUUCAAUAUGUUGAAAAGGUAAAGUUUGCAUGUGUAAAGUGAAUUGUAUUUGCAUAAAUUUGGGCGUUGUGAACACCUAUGACAAACCUCAUAGGAUUAAAUUACUCUUUUUAGGUUUCCUGUUUUGUUUGUCUUCAUUUGUUUUUGGUGCUGUCUUCUGUUGAUCAGACUGCAUUUCUGAUAUCUGACCAGUGCCAUAGCACGGUCAAUGCAAUUGUAGAUUGACACCUUCCAACUGGCAUGAGGUCAUCAUCCACCUGGCAUGAGGUCAGGCGCCACCUUGGCUCCGGUAGUGCUCGAGUGGGCAAGGACAAGCCCAGCCGAAGGGUGGUCCUGGUAAGAAGCCAAGCACAGGUCUGUCCAUCAGUCCAGAGUCUCAGCACACUAAGGAAAAUGAAUGAUAGCAUUACAGCCCCACAGUGCACACGGUCCCCUCACCACUCACAGACUGGAAUAUCGUCUUCCAGGUGUCGUCUAUUCCAGCGUCCUUAGAGACGAAUUCCAGCUCCCCUGCUCAAGACUCCAGGUCCGAGCAGCAGACAUCCUGUCUGCAAUCCUCAGAGAACCAAAGCAGAUAGUCACUUUUAACUUCCUUAUUGUUAUUUUCUCUCUGUGCGAAGUAAAAUUACAGGUAAGUAUUUUGCCAUAUUAGCCUAGAACACACAGUCCCUGAGAGACAAAGCUGUUUCACAGAACAAUUUGGAAGAGGCCCAGGGUGUGAGUUCUGCUUGGGGCAGAGCCGACCUUCGGGUCCUUGUGCUCCAGGGUCCAUCCUGGCCACAGUGGCUCACUGGAUCAUCUUACUUCACAGAGAUGAUGCAAAAACCAACUGCUAAACGGGCAGGAAAGACUGCAGUUCCCCGGGAAUGGAUGGAUGGUAAAACCAUCAGUGAUUGACAUUACAGCAAUUAGGAUGGUGUCUGUUUCUGCCAGUGCAAACUGUGGUCCUGUUAAAUAUUAAAUAGGUAAAUAUUAUCGAUGAAUUAAUGAGCAGAUAGAAGAUUCACCCUAAAACAUUUCCAACAGAUUACUUUAUGCUUUUCAAUACUGGAAGUGAUGACAGGCACCGUCACUGCUGUUUUAAUUGUGGGUGCCGUCUCUAUAUCUGGUUAGCAACUUCUGAGUGCCGUGGGAGGCUGUGUGGAGCCUUUCCUAGCAGACUUUACUGCAGGCAGAUUUCCUGUUAGUUUUUAUUUUUGCCGUCACUGUGUGAGUACAGGUGCAUGCAUUCCUAUAGCACACUUAUGAAGGCCAGAGUUUUAUGUGAUUAUUUGGGUCAGGGCGGCCCGGAAACAAAGGAGCAGUCUCUGUUUACAGACAGUGUUUGAAAACUUAAGAUUCUAUGUGUGGGAAACAGGCUGUGUCUCACAUGGUGGCAGCUGUAACUCUACUUAGGAAUUGAGUGGUUUAUCCCAGUGAUAGCCAAGGAAGAGGCGUCCCUGGAGCAGCUGCCUCAGUACCAGACGGAAGCCUUUGGAGGUACAGGGGUUCAAAUCCUAUCUCUGACUUUUCUGCAUCUGAAACUCCUUGAGUAGGGACUGUGGUCUGUAGAAGACCUUCCAGGGAUUCUAGUCCUAAAUAACUUGGGGAGCAACUCCUUUCUGGCUGCAAAGCACAAGUCUAAAUCCAGUCCCCCCACCUCGCAAAUGGGGUACCUUCCUCUGUUUCCAUUUCUUCUGUAGAACCAGAGAAAUAAUACCCACAAAAGGGUUAGAUGAAUUGAUGCACAUAUUAAAACAAAUGACAGGGCACCCACAGUAGACCAAAAAGUGAAUGCACCCAAGUCUAGCUUACUAAGGUGAGGACCUGACUUUGUAAACUCCAUUUUAAAGAAGGGGCUUCACCUAAGCCAUAUAAUGAGCUGGGGGUGGAUGAUCUCAGCUCCAGAAAUGUGCUGCUGUAACAGAAACUUGAACAGAUACCCUAAAAAUGGCCAAUUAAGAUAGGGAGCAGGACCAUAAAAUUUAAUGAGGUCCAGAUGUUCUUGGGAGACAUCCUGUCCUUGAAGUUACCUUGUCGGUAAUUUAUGACUCUUUGUUAGCUUUUUGUGCCCAAAAACUGACCAAUGGUUUCAGAAACUACCUUAUCCUAUGUAGUCCUCACCCAAUCCCAAGACGAUAAAACUUGAACCCCCUUAACUAUGGCAUUUCCCUUUAAAAGUUCUCCCCUUCCCCGGGCUCAGGGCUGCACUUCCCUCAGUUACUGCGUUGAUGUGGUGGAGGUGGAGUCUAAACUCAAGUUUAGAAUAUUAUUAAAAUAAUAUUAUGGAUAUUAUUUUUAAAAAACCCUCAUGUAAUUUGCAUCGGAAAUCCGACUGUGAAUUCAUUCGGGAACCAGAAACUUAGGCAUAACAACUAAAUCAGAGUUUAUGGGGGUUAUUUAGAGAAACAUGGUGCCUUGAAGGCAGCUACGUCACUGGAAAGGUCAUCCUAGCAUGGAAGACAACUCAGGACAGCUACAUCCUGGAGUUUUCAGGCAGCUUAGCUAAUAGUCUCAUCUCCCAUUGUAACUGUUACUGCUUAUAGACCCCCAGGAGGGGUCGUUGUGAGUCUUGUAGCUUCAGGACCUUCCUGAGGCUUGAUUUACUUUCAUCUAGAACCUCAAUGGUAUUGUAAGGAGGCCAGUUGUUGGUUCUCGGCUGCUCAGCCCCAAAAUAAGCACACAGAAACUAUAUUAUUUCAAACACUGCUGGCUCUAUUAGCUCUAACUUCUUAUCCACUAACUCUUACAUAUUAAUUUAAGCCAUUUCUAUUAAUCUGUGUAUCGCCACAAGGCAGUGGCUUACUUGGUAAAGUUCAGGCAUCUGUCUCGGAGGGGCUACACGGCUUCUCUUUGACUCCUUUCUCCCAGCAUUCGGUUUGCCCCACCCCACCCCCGCCCCACCUAGCUCUGCUCUACCCUAUCAACAGGCCAAGGCAGUUACUUGAUUAGCCAGCAGUAUUCACAGCAUCCAGGGAGGAAUCCCACAUCAUAAGGGAAUGUUUGUCGUGGCAGGAAUUGGCUACUCAGCACCGAUGUGAGCACACUGAACGGUGAGCAAGGGAGGUGGUGGCUCAGAAACUUUCAGGGUGAAAGCGAUGCUCAAGAGGUUGAUGUUUGAGAAUUGCAUCUUGUUCUGCUGUGUCAAAGGGAUCUGUUUGGAGUCGUCUGGUGAGUGUGACAGCGGAGGCAGCAGAGUGGGGUCUCGACGCUGGGGAGCAGCGGAGCUGUGCAGCCUGUCAGGCGCAUUCUCACGCAUGGAUAGCUGGAAAGCACCCUGGGUCUCAGGAUCAAGGGAGCAUUGAAGUUGGCAUCCAGGAGCAGAUGCCGCCUGGGGUGAGGGGCAUUCGAUUAGAGGCCGGCACCUGUGAGGGAGCAGUGGCAGGCCUGGAGGGUAGACCCAGGGAUCACCAGCUUAGUGGGAAGCCCCAUCGGUGUCCCCCAGCUGGCCCCGUGAUCACCAGGUGCCAGUUCCCCAGGAGGGCCGUGGCCCUCAGGCCAGGUAGCCUCUGAGACGUGGCAGGCAGUUUCUAAGUAAGUUGGGUAUCGGUUCAUCCUUGGAGGAGGAUCUGGAUGGCUCACUUCCUGCCUACUACAGUCAGCAUGGGAAGAUGCAAACUAGAGAGAGAGGAAGUCCCCAGAAAGGCUGUGGCUAAGAUGGAGAGCCAAUGGGGUAGGAGACUUCUCUUUGCCUUUUAGCAACCAGACCAAACACCGAAGAUCACUCUUGGAUCCUGGUACCAUCCUUUUUUCUUUUUUGAUGUUUAUUAUUCUUAGAUGAUUUGGUACAUGUAUAUAACGCACGUCGUUCCCUACCCCAUGGCCCCCCAAUUCCUUCUUCCCAACAAGUCCCUCUCUUAUUUUAAUGCCUUUGUGUUUUUGUUUUCUUGGGACCUACUGAGUUUAACUGGAGUUGUGGGUAUGCAGAGGGGAGAGGGGUCACUGACUGGAGCAGAGCAAUUUGCCAGUGGCUGCGCCCCUAAGAAAAUGCCUCCCCUUCCCCCAGCAUCUGUUAACUGCCAAUAGCUUCUCAAAGGAGAAUGGGCCCUCAAAGACCCUCCUUGGUUCAGGAUGGAAUGUUAAGACUCAAUGGAUCGGUAGCAAUUACCUCUUGAAAUUUUAUUUAUUUUAUUGUGUGUGUAUGGGUGUUUUGCCUGCAUGUAUGUGUGUGUACCACACAUAUAUAAUGUCCAUGGAGGGCAGAAGAGGGUGUCAUACUCCCCGGGACUAGAGUUACAUGGUUCGAUGAUUGUGACCUGCCAUGUGGGUGCUGAGAGUUGAAUCUGGAUCUUGUGGAGCGGCAGCCAGGUGCUGAACUAUCUCUUCGGCCCCUAGAUUCAUGGAUUUUAUUUUUAUCCAACUUGUUCCUCUUGAGUAUAUGGAUGUGUAUGUUUAUGGGGGUGUACUUAUAGUCAACUGUGCGUGCAUGUGUGUGCGUGUGUGUGUGCUGAGGCCAGGAAAACAAAAACUUUGGGUGUCAUUCCUUAGGUACCUCCCAUCUUUUUAUUUUAACCUUGAUGCCCAUCAAGCAGGCUAGGCUGGCCAGGGAUGUAUCCAGCUCUGCUUCACUGGUACUGGGAUUACAAGCACUUAAAAACACAAAACAGGUUUUCGGGACUAAAUUUAGGUCCCCAGGCUUGCAAGGCAAGCACUUUACUGACUGAGCCAUCUCCACCGCUCUGCCCUGGCCCUCUUGAGUCCACCAGAUACUCUGGGUUGAAGAGACCACCCUGUCCAUACUUCUUAACAGAUGGAGCUGACCAGAGACAUGCCCCUGCUGAAGAACCCUGCUCCUCAUCCGGGAACUGCUCUCCAAAGGACUCAGCACUGUAUCAUGUGCAACAAGCAGAAGAAUUCCAGUGUCGAACCAAGGAGGGAAGAGCCGUGUUCGGGUGAAAGAUAAGUCAGCAUGGUUUUCAGAGCGAGCUGCCUGCGUGGCUCCCUCCCAAAAGACGAUGAGUCACCCGUAUUGCCUAACACAGUUUUACUACAUUGGUAAAAUCCAUAAAGUCUCACAUGAGGUGUAUGGUUAGCAAACGAAGAUGAAAUGAGGCUCUAUUAAUGAAACACAGGGAGAGUCUAUGUGAGCCGGCGCCAUCGCCUUGACUUACUGUGAUACCAGUGCUCUCGACAGCUCUCUGUCACGUUCACAGCAUGAGCCUGGCACAGAUGCAAGCAAACCACUGUUCUUAAGUUGGCACGCCACCUCCUUGGCCAUGAGAUAGAUCCCAAAAUUUUGCCACAACUCUUCCUGGUCCAGCUACUGUGAAGUCUUUAAUUAUGAAUCGCCCUGCCCGCUGCCUGGCAACGCAUUAGGUCAAAGUCAUGGCUCGUGUGUACAGUCUGUUCUGCUCUCGUCUCUGCCCGUAGAUACAGAAGGAGCCGAUUCCCUUGUGGCUGGUUGUUCUCAGCGCAUUUCUGUUGUUGUGACAGAUACUCUGACCAAAAUCAACAGUGGGGGAGAAAGUCGAUGACCUGUAAUUCUAGGUCACAGUCCAUUAUCGAGGGAAGUCAUGCCUGCCUGCUUGUUGCUACACAGUGCCUUACCUCUGACCAAGGAAGUCACUCUUCAGAGCCAAUGAAGUGUGGCAGGAACACUGAGGAUGCUCCUUGCUGGCUGGCUCACAGGCUGGCUUAAACCCAGCUAGCUUUUUUGGAUUUUAUUUUGGAUUUAUUUUUACCAUUUUAUGUGUAUGAAUGUUUUGCCUGCAUGUAUAUUUGUGUACCACAUUUAUACCUGGUGCCCAAGGAGGUGACAGGCCUCCACGUGGGUGCUGGGAAUUGAACCCAGGUUCUUCCUAGGCAACAAUAAGAAGUUAGCUAGCGUUCUUAAACAGCUACCUGCCUAAGGAAUAGUGCUGCCCAGGGGCUUCACUGUCCUAUACCAAUUAACAAUCAAGACAAACCUACACAACACACACAUGCAUACACGUACACACAUGCUUACACAUGCACCCACAGGCCAGUCUGAUCUAGGCAACUCCUCAACUGAGAUUCUCUUCCCAGAUAAUCGUAGAUUGUGUCAAACUGGCAUUAAAACUGACCAUGACUCUAAAACACACACACCCACACACACACAUAAAAUGACUGUCCUCUACCUCCUGAGCAGUGACCAGCAACAAAGAGAAGGCCCUCACCAUCUCAAGCAGCCACCGCUGUUCUAGACUCGGCCCUCAUAACAUUCAUUCCUUCUGCCCAUGUGGCUGAGCAAGUAGCCAACACAGACUCAAAUAGCCGAACCCAUCUCCGGUGCCAUAGCUGGAUCUUAAAUAUCUCUCUAAUGCCUCGGGGUCAAUGGCUUGGUUCUUAGGUCUACCGGGAGGUAAAGAAAUCUUUGAGGGGUGGAGCCUAGAGGAUGGAAGUUACAUCAUUGGGAGUGUGUCCCAGGAUAGUUGCUCUUCACACACCUUUUUCUCUUUCUCUCAUUUGCUUCCCAACACGGUGAGUUAGCCACACCCAACACACACAUACACACACCACACACACUCCACACACACACACAUGCACACACACACCACACACACUCACAUCACACACAUACACAUACACUCACACACACACACACACACCACACACACACACUACCUCCCAUGUUCUCCCUUCAUGACCUGCUGCAUCACCUCAGGUCCAUAGCACAGGGGCCUCCUGAUCAAGGCUCAGAACCUAUAGAAACGUGGAGCAAAACAGCCUUUCCUUGGUUAGAUGUGGUGACCCACAUCUGUGAUCCCGGCUCUCAGCCGGUGGAGGAAGAAGGAUCAGGAGUUCAAGGCCAUCCUCACCCCAUAGUGAGUUCAAAACCAUUGUGGGCUACAUAAGAUCCUGUCUCUGAAAACUAAGCAAACAACAGAAGCAAUUCCCCCCAACUCUUCUCCUUGAAAAGUGAUUGUCUUGGGGGUUGUUAUUGCCACAAAGAUACAGGCCCAUGUUGUACACAUGGCACUAACAGGCCUCUGAGCAUGCCCGCGUGGCUGUGGUGAGCCUGAGCUGUAACGAGGCUUCUCUUCCCUGUAGAAGGAAGCCUGUGACAGUCCACCCACCUCAAGCAAUGCACCUGACACCGGUGGCUUCUCUGCUGCUUGACUCUUUGUCAGGUUUGAAGGCUUCAUUUUAGAUGGUUGUGCUGUGGAGAGCUCUGGGCUUGGCAAAUUAGAUGCUUCUCAAAAGUUUCCUUUGUUGGGUUGUAAAAAUUUUCAGUUAUCUGAAAUCAUGAGGUUUAGAGUUCCCUCCCCAUUCUAAGAGCAAAAGGACAAAGUUAAAUGUCUUUGCGUGAUAAUUUUAGAAUUUAAAGGAAGGGUCCCAUGCCCUGUGGUAGGGGUGGGGAGACUUUCCAAGAAUACACCGCAGGGUUAAGACAGGGUUGUACCAGAAAGCAGGGAAUUAACAAUUUGGAACUUUUCCACAGAUGAAACCUUGAAGCCAAUUUGGAGCAUUCUAAGCACAAAUGUGACUUUGACAUUAACCUUAAUUGAAGCUAAUUUAUUUGUGGUUAUAAGACAGUUCAAAGCAUGAGAUUUUACAGGGGUGAAACUAUCCGCCCAGUUGACCUUGGCCACAUUCUAGGAUACCUUGAGCAGGACAUCAUAGCGAUGACAUCCUGGAGUUAGACAGUGGCCAUGCUGCAGUUUUGGGCCUCAUAGGACAAUGGCUAAGUGAGCCAGAAUCUCUAAGUGGGUUACUUCAAACUGUGUGUGUGUGCGUGAGUGUAUGCAUGUGUGUGUGUGUGCAUGUGUGCUUGCUUGCAUGUGUGUGUGCGUGCGUGCAUGCAUAUGUGCAUGCUUGCAUGCAUGCGUGCAUGCGUGCGUGCGUGCGUGCGUGUGUGUGUGUGUGUGUGUGUGUGUGUGUGUGUUGUGAGGGCUCGGAUGACCCACUGGAGCAAGGAGGCAGGACACUAACUUAUCUAAGGAUGCUGAUUCUCCCUGACAAUUUAGUGUGUACUCUGCCCUCUAAAACACAGUAACUAACCAGGUGUGGUGGCCCUGACUAGCAAUUGCUAGCACAAUCUUAAGAUGGUGAGGCUCAGAUAUUUAGAGGUCAUUGUCUUCCACAUGAAUUUCUUCUUUUGCAGACUUAUUGCACUUAUAUUGCGCUGGGUUCUUAAUGUUUGAGAAAUAAUGCAUGCAUCAGAUACCUAAGUGUGCACAUGCUGUUCCUAAAGCGUACUUGCGUAUUUCAUCCCUUUAACUAGCAAGAGGGUUCCCUGACUGCCUGCGGAGUUCCGCAGUCACAAGAAAAUACUGUGCUCCGUAACUGAUGGACCUGAUCAUUCGCCGCAAUCAGGUCACCUCCCAUAAAAUUUAAUCCUGUCACUGAGAAAUUAGAUAUCUUUUAAUGCUACAAUCAGUGUUGACAUUUUUCAUAAAUUGUAUUACAUUUAUUCAUAUGGAUGAUGUAUUUGUGUGGAGGUCAGAGGACAACUUGUAGGAGACCUUCCUCUCCUUAUGCCACGUGAACCCAUGGAUUGGAGUGUCUUCAGGCUUGACAGCAAGCACCCUUACGCCCCUGAGGCCAUCAGUGCUGGAAUCUUUUAAAUGGUACAUUAUGUUUGAGAAGCAACGUUUUUUUUCCUCACUUGCAAGUCUGGGACCUGGAACUUCUUUGUUGACCUUCAUGAGUUGAAGAACCUGAAAAAGUAGUUUCCAAGUGAAAAAAAAUAUUGUCCUAUUGAUUCAGUUAAGUGUAGACUCAAAGGAAUUUAUUUUAUUUUUUAUGACAUCAGUUCUGAUGACUGACUAAACCCCACUGUGUGACAUGGUGUUUAGAGUUGGAUUGAAAACCCUUAGGGCCCACCUUGUCAUAUCUACUGCAUGCUACAUGGUAGUAGAGACCCUUGCAGAAUACACUAGUUAGGAAAAUGAAGUUCACCAACCCAAACACCCAAAACACUCCAGCUAAUGGUUAAAAAUUUCAACAUAACUAUAAAAACACUGACUUUUUGGUGAUGUGAAAAUAUUAGAAAUGUUUAAAGAGUACAAAUACAACUGAGGGGGAAAAAAGAAAAAUAAGAAUUCUCAAAAGAGGCACUAAAGACGCAAUAUUUGUAUCACACACAAGCCAUUUGACCUCACUGGUAACUAAAGAACUAAGUUAAGGUGAGCUUGUGCUUUCUCUGUAAUGGCCAAUUAAAAUAAAUUACCCAAAGCAGGUAGGAAAAGGGAGCAGGCCCACCUUGGGCGCUGCACCACAGGCCGUGGCUCAGAGCUGACAUUGCCUAGGGACAGCAUGCCUAGAGCAAGCCUAUGAGUCUGUUUGUGAUUCAGCUAUGGUGCAUCUAAGAUUCCAUCCAUCCAUCCAUCCAUCCAUCCAUCCAUCCAAACAAACAAACAAACCACAAAACCCACUGCGAGUCUGCCCAGAAAUCUGAGUACAUUCACACCAGUGUUUUCUUGAAAAACACAGCCAACUUACAGUCACUGCUUCUACAUGACAGCUGCUAUUCUAUUCCAAAACUCUACUUUUGCUUAUGUGUGAGCAGGUGCACGAGAAUGAGGGUGCACAGGGGUGCACAUGUGUACAAGUUCAGAGGGCAACUCGGUGUUAGUUCCAGGAAUGUGUCCACCUCAUUUGAGGCAGGGUCUCUCCUUGGCCUGGAGCCCACCAGUUAGGCUAGUGUGGCUGGCCCGUGAGGACCAGGGACCCUCUUGUGUCUACCUGUCUCCAACUCCCCAGAGCUGAGAGUUUUGCAUGCCCCACUGCGCCUGGCCUUUUUAUCUGAGUGCGAGACAAGCACAUUAGUUCGUGCAUUUUUUCUCCAGCCCCUAGUAUUUUUGUUUGGCUGCUCUUGUUUGGGGGGGGGGGCAGGGUGUGCAUCCACCAGAGCAGGCAUGUGAAAAUCAAAAGACAACCUCUGGGAGUCAGUUUCCUCCUUCCAGUACACAGGUCCUGGGAUUAGAACUUCAGCUGUCAGGCUUGUCUGCAAGUACUUAAACCCACUGGGCCAUCUGACAGUACCCCUCUCCCCCAAAGCUAGUGGGUAACUCUUAUCUCAGCUUUGCUGAAGUGUACCAAAUGCGUUAGACAGACACCAGCCACCCCCACUCAAAACCCGCUACAGUAACGGGGAGAAAGGAAAAACAGGUUGCUUCCGAUGAGGACAGGUAAAGUCCACUAUAGGGAUUCAACCACUGGAUUAAUGAGACCAGCACGAUUCAGACUGUGGUGACGUGUUUGAAACACGUUCCUGAUGUGUGACCGAGUGAGGAGAGGUGACCCAGAAGGUUACAUGCUCUAUUGCCCAGCCUGCUCCAGCAGGCUUGUGGUCACAACGAAACAGGAGGAUGGUGAGCAUCUGCCUCAGACUAGAAAGUAGAAAAAAGGGCUGGGAGGUAAUUCCGUGGUAGAGUGCUUGCCAGGCAUGUGUGAGUCCGGUUCAGUCUCUAGUACCGAGCCCAGCAGCCCGCCCCCCAAAUCACAGUAUUACUAGAUGAUCCAAUAAAACGUUAAUAGGACCUGGCUGCAGAUGCAGACGUGCAGCGGGGCUUCCUUUGUUCUGGGUACUUCUCACAUUCCACGCUCCCUUUAAUCAUAGGUAUUACUGUUACUAAAAUAACAUGAAAGCACCAUCUGUGCUGCCAGCCCCGCUCCCAGCGUGUGUUCUAACGUGGCAGAGCGGUGCGUACUACUGGAAGAAUGUCGAGCCCCGCAGUCUGGUGACUUCAUACCCAGACCGUUCUCUGUAUUUUCCUUCAACUAAUAAAAUGUUGAAACCUUUCUUCCCGUACCAAAAAUGCAUUACACCAUCUUCAUCGUCUAAGAAUCAAGAUAUGUACAUGUUAAAAUGAAAAUCCAACGGAAGGGUACUAAGUGUGGAAACCAUGCCUUAGCCCCACCCUAGAGCCGUUCUUCCCAGCAGCUACCCCCUCUCCAUGAGAAGAAUCCAGAGCAAAGUAAAGCCUAUCAGGACAGCAAUCGAGAAGACCCAUCCUGCUCUGCGGCUAGGUGACCUGCUGCUUAUGGGCUCCUCAGCAACCCAGUUGUCACUCUGUGUCUCCGGUGUAAUGGCUGACCCAUCGGGUGAACUGUUGGGUCUGGCAUGGUUUUCUUCUCCUGUUGCCGUGGAGAAGGAAGAAAGGAGAAACUUUGGUCCCAUCCAAACGUGAGAUAGGUUUCACAUGGGCACUGUAAGGCAGCGCAGGGGAGGCAGCCAUCUUCUUAGACUGAAAUCCCAGCUCCAUCCCUCGGGGCCCAGGGAACACCAAGGGGUGAGGAGAAGCUAGAGAACCCCAUGUUCCCAUGGAGACUGCUUUGAACUUGUCCCCUGUAUUCUGUAGCACGUGGCAGUCAGUGACCUUGUACUUGUACAAAAGGAUAUAUUUUCCAACAUAUUUAUAUUUUGCAUAUGUAUGUAUAUAUUCCUAUAUGUUUAUUCCCUAUAUAUAUAUUCCCAAUAAAAUACAUUUUCCCAA